CCGACGGAAACGGAAUCGGAGGCCCGGAUCAUGAGUUACGGCCCCUUCUUUGCGGCCCCCGAGGACGUGCGCUAUAGCGAGGACGUGCGCUCCCCCAUCCGGCCGCACCCGCCCGAACCCCACCGAACGCGUCCGCCGCCUCCCGAUCCCGCCCCGCGGUCCCCCCCGGGGCAUGAACCGGCCCCCGGCGGGCCGAAACCGGCCAAACCGGCUAAACCGCCCCGAUCAUGCCCAUUUUUCGGCGUUCAAACCGCCGCACGGCUACCCCCCCAUCCCGAUGCCCCCGGACCCCUGGUCCCGUGGGACCUGACGGAAACGGAAUCAGAUGCUCGGAUCAUGAGAUACGCCCAAAACCAUCUAAACCUACUGAGCGCACCCCGAACAUGCCCAUUUUUCGGCGUUCAAACCGCCGCGCGGCUACCCCCCCAUCCCGAUGCCCCCGGAACCCUGGUCCCGCGGGACCCGACGGAAACGGAAUCGGAGGCCCGGAUCAUGAGUUACGGCCCCUUCUUUGCGGCCCCCGAGGACGUGCGCUAUAGCCCCCCGGGCCACCCCCCAUCCGGCCGCACCCGCCCGAACCCCACCGAACGCGUCCGCCGCCUCCCGAUCCCGCCCCGCGGUCCCCCCCGGGGCAUGAAUCGGCCCCCGGCGGGCCGAAACCGGCCAAACCGGCUAAACCGCCCCGAUCAUCCCAUUUCUCGGCGUUCAAACCGCCGCACGGCUACCCCCCCAUCGCGAUGCCCCCGGACCCCUGGUCCCGUGGGACCUGACGGAAACGGAAUCGGAUGCUCGGAUCAUGAGAUACGCCCAAAACCGUCUAAACCUCAUGAACGCACCCCGAACAUGCCCAUUUUUCGGCGUUCAAACCGCCGCGCGGCUACCCCCCCAUCCCGAUGCCCCCGGAACCCUGGUCCCGCGGGACCCGACGGAAACGGAAUCGGAGGCCCGGAUCAUGAGUUACGGCCCCUUCUUUGCGGCCCCCGAAGACGUGCGCUAUAGCCCCCCGGGCCACCCCCCAUCCGGCCGCACCCGCCCGAACCCCACCGAAUGCGUCCGCCGCCUCCCGAUCCCGCCCCGAGGUCCCCCCCGGGGCAUGAACCGCCCCCCGGUGGGCCGAAACCGGUCUAACCGGCUUAACCGCCCCGAUCAUGCCCUUUUUUCGGCGUUCAACCCCCGCGCGGCUACCCCCCCAUCCCGAUGCCCCCGGACCCCUGGUCCCGGGGGACCUGACGGAAACGGAAUCGGAUGCCCGGAUCAUGAGAUACGCCCAAAACCGUCUAAACCUACUGAGCGCACCCCGAACAUGCCCAUUUUUCGGCGUUCAAACCGCCGCGCGGCUACCCCCCCAUCCCGAUGCCCCCGGAACCCUGGUCCCGCGGGACCCGACGGAAACGGAAUCGGAGGCCCGGAUCAUGAGUUACGGCCCCUUCUUUGCGGCCCCCGAGGACGUGCGCUAUAGCCCCCCGGGCCACCCCCCAUCCGGCCGCACCCGCCCGAACCCCACCGAACGCGUCCGGCGCCUCCCGAUCCCGCCCCGCGGUCCCCCCCGGCGGGCCGAAACCGGCCAAACCGGCAAAACCGCCCCGAUCAUGCCCGUUUUUCGGCGUUCAAACCGCCGCGCGGCUACCCCCCCAACCCGAUGCCCCCGGACCCCUGGUCCCGUGGGACCUGACGGAAACGGAAUCGGAUGCCCGGAUCAUGAGAUACGCCCAAAACCGUCUAAACCUACUGAGCGCACCCCGAACAUGCCCAUUUUUCGGCGUUCAAACCGCCGCGCGGCUACCCCCCCAUCCCGAUGCCCCCGGAACCCUGGUCCCGCGGGACCCGACGGAAACGGAAUCGGAGGCCCGGAUCAUGAGUUACGGCCCCUUCUUUGCGGCCCCCGAGGACGUGCGCUAUAGCCCCCCGGGCCACCCCCCAUCCGGCCGCACCCGCCCGAACCCCACCGAACGCGUCCGGCGCCUCCCGAUCCCGCCCCGCGGUCCCCCCCGGCGGGCCGAAACCGGCCAAACCGGCAAAACCGCCCCGAUCAUGCCCGUUUUUCGGCGUUCAAACCGCCGCGCGGCUACCCCCCCAUCCCGAUGCCCCCGGAACCUUGGUCCCGUGGGACCUGACGGAAACGGAAUCGGAUGCUCGGAUCAUGAGAUACGCCCAAAACCGUCUAAACCUACUGAGCGCACCCCGAACAUGCCCAUUUUUCGGCGUUCAAACCGCCGCGCGGCUACCCCCCC
rnacentral:lncRNA from 1 species